rnacentral:rRNA from 1 species
AUUGAACGCUGGCGGCAGGCCUAACACAUGCAAGUCGAACGGUAACAGGAAGAAGCUUGCUUCUUUGCUGACGAGUGGCGGACGGGUGAGUAAUGUCUGGGAAACUGCCUGAUGGAGGGGGAUAACUACUGGAAACGGUAGCUAAUACCGCAUAACGUCGCAAGACCAAAAAGGGGGACCUUCGGGCCUCUUGCCAUCGGAUGUGCCCAGAUGGGAUUAGCUAGUAGGUGGGGUAACGGCUCACCUAGGCGACGAUCCCUAGCUGGUCUGAGAGGAUGACCAGCCACACUGGAACUGAGACACGGUCCAGACUCCGACGGGAGGCAGCAGUGGGGAAUAUUGCACAAUGGGCGCAAGCCUGAUGCAGCCAUGCCGCGUGUAUGAAGAAGGCCUUCGGGUUGUAAAGUACUUUCAGCGGGGAGGAAGGGAGUAAAGUUAAUACCUUUGCUCAUUGACGUUACCCGCAGAAGAAGCACCGGCUAACUCCGUG